CGGUCACAAUCCCUAGACCCAAAGGGACAAGCUGGAGGGCAUGGAGACCUGAGUACAGGAGGAGGGGCAGUAAUGCUUUGAGAUGAACAGUGACCUUGGUUGAGGGACACAGCGGCCCGAGGUGCCCCCAGAGUGAGAAUGCAGGUUUGGGGGGCACGACACAACCUGAGAUCUCGCUCUCCAUUUCCUUCUGCUCUCCCGGUAAUGGUCCCCUUUGGCUGGACCCAACUAGACAUCAUCAGAUGAUGAAUUUCACACAGGCUGGCCUCCCCGUUGGAGAUCAAGGCCCAGAAGGUAGAACAUGGACUUUGGAGAGAGACAGGAGACGCCUCAUACGGCAAGGCUACAUGAAGCUCUUACCGUAGACACAGCUCAGAGGUGUGAACGAACGCAGGCCUUGUAAAACGACUUACGAAGAUCUGCUCUGGUUUGAGUUCAUCUGUGGUGGAUGUGGUGUGGUCCAUCGGAAUCCAAACUAUGGCUUCUAGAGACUGUGAUACUCGCUCUUUCUUCUAAGGUUUUUCCUACUUGGUUUUCAGGCUUCUCUUCUAGUGGCUGUAUUUUUUUCUGUAGCCUCUGUCACGCUACCCGAAUCACGCUGGGAAGGCACACCACAGGUGAUGGCAAUGCCACGGAAAGUGCAACGGGCCAGAAACCUCUCACGGCUGAGCACAUUGCUACCAGAAUUACUCACGCAGGCACCUACAGCACAUUCCUACAAUGCCACUUCUCCUUGGGACCAUUGCUCUGCUCUUUCCUGGGGUUGUUCUGUCAUUUUCUUUUUCCUCAGCAAGGCUGGGGAUGUGGAAAUGAAGAAAGGCAGAAGUUGAAAUUUGUUGUAAUACUAGCUGACAUCUGAACGCUGGGAUCGCUGUGUUAGAGGAAGGAAUGGAUGUAUUUACCAAAUAGCGCCAAUCCCCCUUUCCGCCUUCGUUUCAAAUUCUGCAGGAAAAAAGACAGCUCUGAAAAUUUACGAGCCAUAACGUGCUCUUCAUUACUUGGUCACAGGGUAAGCAACCAGCACCCAAGCCUAAGGGUCACCUGCAGGUCUGGAAAUCUUUGUAACUUUAUAGGGAGGUUCAUUGGCUCCAGGAGGAGUGAUGAGGUGCUGAGAAGCCACUCAUUCACCAGGGAACUGCUAAGCAGUUUCGUGAUAAAUAAGGAUAUACAUAUGCACAGAGCUCUUUCGUUAGAACAUUUCCCCCAAACAUGAGAAUCUCAGUUAAUUGUUACAGUGGCCCCCUGAAUGGGGCAGGGCAGGCCUCGCAAACUUCCAUUUCAGAUGAGAAAUUGAGCCUCACAGGCCAUAGGGCCUGCCAGGGUCCUGUGGCUGGGAAAUAGCAGAGGUGCUGGAAAUGAAUUCCAAUUUCCAAUUUUUUUUUUUUUUUUAAAUCACAACAGUUUCCAAUGGAAGCUUUCAAAGCAGAGACUUGUCUAGCCCUUUUACUGUUCGCAGAAAAUUCGAGGGUGUUGAGAUAAUCGGGAACUUUUCCUUUACCGAGUUUGUUUAUGAAUUUGUCCAAUGAAAAGAGAAGUGUGGCUGGAGGUAAAAUCAGACUCUGUUGGAACUUCUGUUCAAAUACCUCUUUCCUUGUUUUUUCCUCUUCGGGAUCCUGGUCACAGGACGGGAAGCCUGUUUCUCUCUUUGCUGUCAUACUCGCUCUUAGUAAAACGAGGACUCGUGGCAGCAUUGUGAACAGUGGAGUUCUACGAUCUGACUUCUAGUUUUACAAAGACUCCCCUGGCCACUGUGCUGAGAGCAGACAUUGGAUUUUGACAGCAGAGCCUACAGGAUUUCCUGACAAUGUAGAUGUGGCUUAUGAAAGAAAGAGAGGAGUCAAGGAUCAAUACAAGUGUUUGGCCCAAGCCACUGAAGGAAGGAGGUGCCAUCAAUGAAGAUGGGGAAGAAUGAGGUGAAGCCUCUGAAGGAAGAUCAACAGGAGGAAGAUUCAUCAUGUUUACAAUCCCAGGGAUUUUUCAGGGCAUGUAUACCAGGGGCCAGGAAUCUUGAGGGACCACCUUAGAACUCUGCCUAUCGCAAUAUCCAAGAGAAAAUGUUGAAUAGAAGUUUGGAUAUUCACAUUUAGAGUUCAGGAGAGAAAAUUUGGGAAUCAUUGUGGUACAGAUAGUACUUAAAGCUGGGAGGCUGAGCUCACUACAAGUGACUCUGGAUAUUGAAGAGAAGAGGCUCAAAGACUGGGCUCCGGGCAAUGUUCAUCUUGAAAGAUCUGGCAAAAGAGAAGAAACUAUGAAAAGGAAACUGAGAAGCGGUGAUCAGCCAGGUGGCAAGAAAUCCAAGAACGUGGUAUUCCGGAAGAUGAGUUUUAAAAAAGGAUAUCAAAUACCAAUAUCAAUUGUAUCAAUUGUAUCAAAUGCUGCUGCUCGAUCAAGUAACAUGAACAAAAAGAAUUGAUCUUUAGAUUUAGCAACAUGGGGGUCUUCAGUGACUUUGAUGAGAAUGUUUUUUUUUCUAGAGAGGAGAGACAGCAAGUCUGUCAAAAGUGACAUAAGACAGAAUGUGAGGAGACGAAUAUGAAAUAGUCACUCUAGACUAUGCUUUGAGAUUUGCCUUAAAGGGAGUUGUGAAACGAUGGUAGCUUGUGCAAACAAAAGUGGAGUCAAAGAUGGGAAUAAAAGUGUGGUUAAAGAUGGGGUAAAUGACAGCAUGUUUGUAGGUUGAAGGAAAUGGUUAGUUUGAAAGGAAAAACAUUAAUAAUGCGGCAUAGAGAGGUGAGAAAUGCCGGUGUGGCCUUGAAUAGGCAGAAGACUGAAAAUCAAAUACAUAAAUGGAUGGGUCAGCUUUAGAUAAGAGCAUAGAAUGUCCUUCUAUAGUAAUUAAAAAUGAUGAUUAAUCUCAUUUUGUGUCCUUUUGCACAAAUAAAAAAAUCAAAUGUA